CCGUUGCACAAUCACUAUUAAUGGUUUCCCCGAGUAGGUUUUCGUUAAUCUUUACUCUUGAUAGCGCAUCGGCUACAUGGUUCUCCUUUCCUGCUUCGUAUUUGGUUCCUUGAGGUUUUUCAACCAAAUCAAGGGCUUAUGAUCACUUAAUAUCUCAAACGUUCUACCAAGCAGGUAUGAUCUGAAAUACUUAGUUGCCCAAACUAUAGCUAGUAAUUCCUUUUCUAUUGCUGAAUAAUUGAUUUCAUGUUCGUUUAAGGUUCUACUUGCAUAGCAAAUUGGUUUGUGGUCUUGCGACAACACUGCUCAUAAUGCAAUGUUACUUGCAUCGGUUGUUACCGUGAACAUUUUGUUGAAAUCUGGAAUGUCUGAGGUGAUAAGUACUUUCAACUUUUCGAAGGCCUCGACGUAUUUUUCCUCGGUUGGGUCUAUGACUGCUCGUUUCUUUAAUUUGAGUGUCAUUGGUUUUGCUAUAUUAGCAAAAUUGGGGAUGAAUUUCCUAUAAAAUCUGCAUAAACCUAUGAAUGAUUUUA